GCAUUCAAUAUUACACAAAGGAGAGAAGCCGUUCAAGUGUGACACAUGUGGUGUUGCUUUCACUCAGAAAGGGAAUUUAAACACUCCUAUGAGAAUACACAUGUAGGAUAGAAGCCGUUCAAGUGUGACACAUGUGGUGCUUUUUUAACUUUAAGAGUAGUUUAACGAAGCACUCAAUAUUACACAAAGGAGAGAAGCCGUUCAAGUGUGACACAUGUGGUGUUGCUUUCACUCAGAAAAGGGAAUUUAGAGACUCACAUGAGAAAACACACAGGAGAGAAACCGUAUACGUGAGAGACAUGUGGUGCUUUUUCACUAAAAAACGUAGUUUAACAAAGCACUCAAUAAUACACACAGGAGAGAAGCCGUUCAAGUGCUGAUUUCACGUAAAAAAACUAAACUCAUGAAAAAAACAUACUUAACAGAAGCCAUAAACGUUCGAUAUUUGUAUGUACUGAUAAAUUAUUUGAUGUUUUAAAACCCGGGACGUAUUACAUUAAAGUUUAACAAACCUCAUCUCUUCAUGAUUGCAUCGCACAGGUUGACCCUUGCUGCAGCCCAGGCAGUCAAGGACGCGAGGGUUCCACAUACCUUCACCGCUUGAAGGAUAUUAUAGGUGACCUUUACAGGCUCAAGGACAAGAGCCCUGUCAGAGCAAGUGGCUUGAGGGAUAAUUAAUUCUCUUAGAAAAUUUGAAAGUUGAACGCAUGUAAGUCACUCCUUUUUAAAGAUUUUUAUGCAGCCAAAAUACUUAGUAAGUCCUGUUCGAGGUUUUUCAUUUUCCAUAUUGCGAAUCCCAUACUUAUUUGUGUUAAUUUAAAGCAACAACUAUCUUGAUGAAGUGCCAGUAAUCCGUAUUCACCAGCCUGGAGGUAGGCAUAGGAACGAACCGAUGUGAGGGAAACCGGUCUUGCAAAGUUCACACAGGACCAACUCUUUGUGAUGUCCCUUCACAUGAUGGCUGCUGUGUUGGCUCACCUAACAGAAAUGUCUGUUGCCAUGCAGACAAGAGAUGCCGUGUAUACCACCGUCAAGCCACUGGUGAAGAGGACGUGUGUUAUCAUGAAUGGACUGCUGGCAAUGCCGGGAGGUGCCUUCGAAAUGUCUGUAGAUCGCGUAACUGCCCUCAAAACAUCGAGACUUUACCAUCAGACCAUCAAGGCAGAUAACGACUAGUUCCGGAACAAGAUCUACUACCCCUUCCUGGCAAACACUGUGCAGAACCUAGAGGAUCGAUUCUCGGACCUGCCACUCCUCCAGAAGUUUCCUGGGGUGGAGCCAACCUAACAUGGGGAAUAUGACAUUAUGGGACCUGGCUGAGCACUUCCACCAUCACUUAGACAAGUGAAAAGAGACAGAUGUGAAGCUCUCUUGGUGACAUCAGCCUUAGAGCAGACCAGGCCAUGGAGUGGGUGACCACCAACCUGACGACCGGGCACAUCAACAUUUAUUAGCUGGCAGCAGUUGGCCAACUCGUCAACGGCUGACUGUGAGAGAGGGUUUACAACACUGAAGAGUGUGGAUAUCAAACACCGAUCUUCACUCUCCAACUUAGUCCUGAACAGCCUGCUCACAUUCAGCAUGAUUGGGCACCAACUGCUGUAUUUCACUAGGAUGGUGAAAGAAUGGCAUGGGACCAAGACGUUUAGAAUUAUGAUUUACUUCAUUAAUUUUGGUGCAUGCUGUAUGUUCUCAUGUUGUGUAUUGAAAUUUUAAUUUCUUUUCUUGAUAUUGCAUUUAUUUUACUCCGAUAUAUUGACAGUUGAUUGAUAUUUAUGUAUUGUGUAUUAAUUGUUUUUUGAUGGUUUGAUUUUUUUCUUAUUAUAUUUAUUGUUAUCAUUUUAUUCAU